UGGCUCAGGAUGAACGCUGGCGGCGUGCCUAACACAUGCAAGUCGAGCGAUGAAUAAACCGACAAGGUUUCGGCCAAGGAAGUUUAUUCAGAGCGGCGGAUGGGUGAGGAACGCGUGGGGAACCUGCCUUUCACCGGGGGAUACCAGCUGGAAACGGCUGUUAAUACCGCAUAUGCUCACAGUGCCGCAUGGCACAGGGAGGAAAACUCCGGUGGUGAAAGAUGGACCCGCGUCGGAUUAGUUGGUUGGCGGGGUAACGGCCCACCAAGGCGAUGAUCCGUAGCCGGCCUGAGAGGGCGACCGGCCACAUUGGGACUGAGACACGGCCCAAACUCCUACGGGAGGCAGCAGUGGGGAAUA
rnacentral:rRNA from 1 species